rnacentral:rRNA from 1 species
UACGUAGGGUGCGAGCGUUGUCCGGAAUUAUUGGGCGUAAAGAGCUCGUAGGCGGUUUGUCGCGUCGGCCGUGAAAACUUGGGGCUUAACUCCAAGCUUGCGGUCGAUACGGGCAGGCUAGAGUUCGGUAGGGGAGACUGGAAUUCCUGGUGUAGCGGUGAAAUGCGCAGAUAUCAGGAGGAACACCGGUGGCGAAGGCGGGUCUCUGGGCCGAUACUGACGCUGAGGAGCGAAAGCAUGGGGAGCGAACAGG